rnacentral:lncRNA from 1 species
ACCCCAAUCUGAGAUUGUGCACUUUGUGCGGUUGAAACCGUACUAUAGCCCCCAAUAUCCGACGUUUUCAGCAGUUUAGGUUAGUUUUUUAGGUCAGGGCG